rnacentral:rRNA from 1 species
AUGCACGCUGGCGGCGUGCCUAAUACCUGCCAGUCGCGCGAACAGACGAGGAGCUUGCUCCUCUGACGUUAGCGGCGGCCGGGUGAGUAACACGUGGAUAACCUACCUAUAAGACUGGGAUAACUUCGGGAAACCGGAGCUAAUACCGGAUAAUAUAUUGAACCGCAUGGUUCAAUAGUGAAAGACGGUUUUGCUGUCACUUAUAGAUGGAUCCGCGCCGCAUUAGCUAGUUGGUAAGGUAACGGCUUACCAAGGCAACGAUGCGUAGCCGACCUGAGAGGGUGAUCGGCCACACUGGAACUGAGACACGGUCCAGACUCCUACGGGAGGCAGCAGUAGGGAAUCUUCCGCAAUGGGCGAAAGCUUGACGGAGCAACGCCGCGUGAGUGAUGAAGGUCUUCGGAUCGUAAAACUCUGUUAUUAGGGAAGAACAAAUGUGUAAGUAACUAUGCACGUCUUGACGGUACCUAAUCAGAAAGCCACGGCUAACUACGUG